rnacentral:misc_RNA from 1 species
GACUUUGAUAGUAGAUAAG